ensembl:snRNA U6 U6 spliceosomal RNA
GUGUUUGCUUCAGAAGCACAAGUACUAAAACUGGAACAAUACAGAGAAGAUUAGCAUAGCCCAUGAACAAGGAUAACAUGCAAAUUCACGAAGUGCUCCAUAUUUUU